CUCCUCUGGCAGUCUGCAGCAUGCCAGAUGACCAAACCCUCUCUCCAUUGUCCCUGCCCCACGUUAAUGUUUGACCAGAACAGACUAUCAUCCUACUUUCGGGUUGUACCAGUCAAAUUGUGGGGAUGGAGGCAGCUCCCGCCACCUUAGCAUCCAGGUCACAGCAAAGUUCAAGGAACUUAUGGUAAAGAUCAAUCACACUUAUGGCACUGCCAACAGAAGCACAUGCUUGUGGAAAAUAGCGUAAAAGAAUUUUAAGGAGGAGAGCUGGGCUCUGAAUUACACCGGAGGCAGAGCGUCUGGACAGUUUUCAUCAGAAGCCACGUCCUAGAGGUAGCGAGCUGUAAACAGUCGUUAAAAGCAACGGAGGAAUGUGUUAGGGUGGGCCCAGGAAGGUGUCAGGCCACGGCGGGCACGUGAGGGAAUGGGCACAGCCUUCAUUGUAGGCACAGAAGCUGGAGCCAGCGGGAGGAGGCAAGCGGGCAACCGAACAGAAUGAUGAGAAAAACCGAAGCUCAGGGAACAUUUCCAAGACCAAGAGCUGAGAACGCUGCGGAGCUGAAAUUUAAAUCCAGUUUGUCAGACCCCCCCAAUCCGACAUUGUCCCCUCGUCCUGCCAUGGCCCAUAUCCCAGGAGGACCUGUCACCAUCCUCCACCUUGGUGAGACAUUGCCCAAGUUAAUGGGCCCAACAAUAGGGUCAGACUACAUUGCUGCUCCAUUUCCAAGAAAUUCUCCACGUGCAACAUCACAUUUCCUGUAACUCCAGUGCCUCAGGUCUCGACUCAAAGGUCACCUCUUCAGAGAGGCCCCUCCUAAUGAACUUCCUAAGCCCAGGCUAUCCUAUGGAUGCACUCCUCCCACCAUCUGCUCUCCCAAGCUCUGCUGAAACCCCCCUGCCUAGAACAAUUUGCUUCGUAGCUGACUUUCCAUAAACAUUCAUACAAUGGAUACAGAAAUGACACAGAGGUCAGCAUCAGAACCCAGGAUCCCCCAAAGCCCUGUUUCUCUCUUUCACAGCCUCUCUCUACCUUAUUCCUAUCACCAAGGGAUUCUUCUCUCUUUCCCUCUUUCUACUAUUUGUUAGAAUGGAAAGCACUGGGCCGGUAAAGCUGUCACUCAGGAUAUGAUUUUUUCUCUGCCACUUUCUGGCUGUGUGCUUUUCUUAAAUCAUGGAACUGCAACUGAAAACGCAUGGAUGACAACACAAGGAUUAUUUUAAAGAUUAAAUGAAAUAACUAGGAUGACUGGGCCUGGCAUAUAUUAAGCAUCAAUUAACAUUAAUUGCUUUGCAUCCUUCUCUUUGUUUCUCUCCUCUCCCAUUGUUCCUUCCUUAUAAAUUAAUUCCCUGCCUUUCUCACAAUCUUUACUCCCUACUCAUAAAGCUUCUGCCAGGGUUGUCAGCAGGAUUUAUGUACUUGAAUUGAACUGAGUUAGGUAGGCAUGAAUGAAAGGCAAGUUAUCUCUUUCUAGGGGGAGAAAAAUUUAAGGCAGAGUGAUGUGAGAAGUGUCGACAAGACCCAGGAAAGCCCAGGGAGAGGGGCUGGGGCUAAGGCGUCUGCCCGCUUGGCAGCAGCUGUGAUGUUCGGAGUACGUGUUCAGACCAGCAGUCCCUGAGAUGCUAUUCCACUUAUUCUGGAGACCACUCUGCUCUUAGCCCCGCUGGGCAGGUAGAUUUGGAAAUGUUUAUUGCAUGAGAUGUGGGAUGGAAGAAAGAAACCUGAAUUGGGAAUGAAGAGGCUUGUUCCACCUUCCCUCAAUCCUGCCAGUAGCCAGCUACAGAGCUUAGGAAAAGUCUGUUUACCUCCCUGGACCUCAGCCUACCCUCUGACAAUUAAAGGGAGAUCACAGUUUUGAAGGCAUCUACCAGCUCUGACGCGCUCUGGCUAAACCAGACCAAAAAUUUUUUUUACAGCCAUUUUUGAAAAGGGAGUGAGAGAAGAGAACUGCAGAAGCUUAAAGAAGCACCAUUUGCAAAGUUUUUUUUUGUUCUGUUUCCAACAAUCUUACUUAUUCGCAGCACAGAUUCUGUUAGGCUUAGACUUGUGUUUCGGUGGCACUGGAUUGAUAGACUCAUACUAAUUGGUGUGGGUGUCUCAAUUUUCUCCGUCCAACUUUGCUGGGGUCUCGCCUUCUCUCUAUGGAAGCUCUUCUCAGGCUCACAAGAGCUGAGAUUUCUCAGAGGCGCCUGUAGAUGGAUUUGCCUUUUUUCUGCUAUAUCCAUCUGAAGCCACAGCAACUCUCUCUGAGCCAAAACCACUCACUAAUUAAUACAUUUCACAGGGUGAAUGAAGCACUGGCACGACCAGCAGCUUGGGGCAGCUCCCAAAGCCAUGGCCUUGCCCAGUGCCCAGAAAGUCCUGCCUGGAGACGGCCAGUGCCAGUUUCCUCCAUGCCAGCACCUCACCCUUCUCAUUUGAACCCAGAAAUGUGUUGACUUCCAGUGCCCCCUACCACCCUAGCUGUGUCAUUUUCUCCUUCACCUGUUUGCAUUUCCAAGGAAGCACAAGUCACAGUCAUAGGGGCUCGUGAUCUAUUUUUUAUUCUCCCCUUUUCUGGGCAGAAUGAUGGAUCAACUCUGGAAAACCUAUUAGGAAAGGGCUGGGCCAUCCUGCGUUUCCGCCAGGCCUGUCCAGGUGACUUUGAGUCAACCCACUGAGAGCUACUUGGCCACAGGCCAUCUCUGUGGGGCACCAUGUUUAUUUGAACCACUGACCCUGGCCCUAGAAGAAAAGAUGAAGACUUAGUGAUACCCCUUCUCCCCAUCUAUCCCCACCAGGGGCUUUUUGGAGUGUCUUUAAUUUACAGUCUGUUGGAAAGCACUCAGAAUCACUCUACCCUACACUCAAGGCAGGACCCUUCAUCAUCCAUCUGCGCCAGGCCAGCCUGCAGGCAUAUAUCCCUGAACUUCCCAGUGAGGUUCUGAAAGAACUGGGAAACUGAGGAAGAGAUUGGAAAUAGAGGAGGCCCCAGUGAUGGCUGUUUGUAUCAAUCAUCACAUUGAUUUGCUUAGGGAAGUCUUAUUCUAACAUUACACUGGUUGGUGAUCAGGCCUCCAGGCCCACUGGACUCCUAAGAUAAGGCUCCAGCUCCACAGAGUUGGAAGACAAAAUUGUCCGCUCCCUCCUUGCAUUCACCCAGCCCGGGGUCUUAUCUGGCAGAUGAUUGCUUGUUGCUCCAGCUUUCUCUGUCCUAACCUCUACAACCAUAGUCACCAAUGAUUUACUUAUUCUUAGACCCAGCCAUAACCUCACAUUUUCCAUGAAUCAGCUAGCCCCCUAUGGUUUCCUGCAAUGUUUCCUUUAUUUUCUAUUUCCUUAUGACAUUCUUUAAAUGAAUCUCCUUCUAUAAUUACCAUUUGACCCCUGGGCUUUUACUCUCCACAUUGCUACAAAAAAAAAAAAAAAAAAAAAAGUCCAGUUCUUUUUGCAAGACGCCAUUCCUUAUAUAUCUUUCCAUCUUCCAUAAUGCCUACAACAAGGGUGACCACAUCAUAAAUUAUUGGUAAAGAUUUCCUGGUUAUGCCAAGACAGAAAUCUAGCCUGCUUGGUAGUUACAUUUCUUUAGGCAAAAUAACAAAUUGACUUUCUGCUUUGAAUUAGGCAUAUUUAUGUCAACAGGAGGCCAAAUCACUGCUGGGUGAGUGACCCACUGCUAGGAAGAUGCCCAGACGCCAACUGGGAAAAGCUUGGCCAAGCCAAUCAGGUGCUGCCAGAGCCUUCUUUGUGAUAGCAAUGCCAACCCAUGAACUAAUACCCUCCUUUGGGAGAGAUGCUGACACGCCAAGGAAACUAAUGUUUUUAUCUCAGCUGACUCAUUUGCUGAGAACAACAGGUUUAUAAGGCAACUCUUAGCUUGACCCACUCUACUCCUCCAUCAAAAUAAAGAAAUAAAUAAAGUUUUCAAACUAAAGAGCAUUAAAGAAUGAUAACUUUUCUUUUUCUUGGUACUAUCUAUUGACCUAUACCUGGUUUUCACUGUAACACAUUUGUGGUAUGAAAAAUGACAAUAUGAUGUCAGAGAAAAUGAGAGAGACAUUUUAGAAUUUAUCAGAAUGUGACUAUGGUCACUUAAAGUCCAACUUUCUCAUGUGGGUUUCAGCCUGUGCUGGAAACAAAUAGCCUCUCUUACCUCUAAAGUACUUGGUUCUGUGCUCAAAGUGGCAUAUUAAGUUCUGCUGAUUACAUCAGAAUUUGGAUGGUGUCUCAGGAUCUCAGUUUCCUAUCAGUGGAAUAUGGAGUUGGGUUAGGCAUUAUUUAAGAUUCCCUCCAGUUCUACCCUGUUUGUUUUAAGGUUUCCUCUUAUAUUUUGUAACCUCUCUUCUACUGCUUUUUGGCAAGGUCUGGAAAAGAAAGGCUAUGAAGAUAGGCUUGAAGAUAGGGCCCACGUUACAAGGGAGAAAAAAAAAAAGACGAGGUCUCAUCAAAUCAACUCCAUACACACUAGCAAAAUUAGGGAAGGGAUGGAAGGGAAGGUGAAAUUAGGGUGAAAAUUCUGUUCAAUGCUUAGCAGAAUUGUGAAAGGCCAAAGUUGGCCUAGAACCCUGCCCAUACAAUUCCAAUGCCCCUACCACCAAGAAUUGUUUUUCUCCACCCUGGACUAGGCCUAUCCCUUGGGAAGAAUGACCACAGAAGAGGAAAGGAGGACAAUAGACAGAGCUGCGGAAAUGCCCCCCAAACUUGGUCUCGGCAUUGUAGACCUGCAGGCAUCUGUGCAGUGCAUGUUGGGGGUAAAGCCAAGUUGAACAUUAAUUGUUGUCAUCCAAGAGUCAAUAGCUUGAGAGAGUCUUUCUGCAGCUGCUUUGUACCUCUGAGCCUCCUCUCCCAUGGGAGAAAGCAUUGUGAGGCAGAGGGCAGCAUAGUCUCAUAGAACUUCACACCUAAGUUGGACAUGAAUUGUAAGCUAGGCUCUACCACAUUCACAUUCUGGGAAGGUCACCUCCCCUCUCUGGCUCUCAGAGCCAUAUAAUACAAGGAGAAGGUGGACUUGAUCUUUAACAUUCUUCCAAGUCAUAUACUUUGUUGUGCCACAGAUAAAUUAUCUGUUCAGCUCAGAACUGCAGGGUGGAGCGGAAGCGGAGACAAUGCUGACUGUUCUCUGUCAUCUCACCUCCAAUCCCUGCCCCUGUGCUUAGUCAGACAACCCAUCUGACUUAUUUCCUGGAAGCCUAUUCCCUUAUUUUAGCUCUUAUGGUAGAAAAAUCAGGACAGUGUGAGCCCUUCCAUGGGCCGUGCCAUUCAUAGAUACCCCUGUGAUUUGUGACUGCUUCUACCCAGAAAGCUCCUGGAGGCAUAUAUUUACCAAGCAAAGGACCCUUGAAGGAAGUAGCUGUUGUCCACACAAACCAUUAUGGGCCAGGGGGAUAUUAAUAAGAAGGAAUGUGUGCCAUCAGAAGCACUCAGCAUCUGCAGUAAACCAAAUCCUCCCUCUGUAGGUAUGGGUUGUCUAGAAGAGAAAUUUUCAUGCAUGACUCAGUUGCUUGCCAUGCAGUGCCAAAGAAACUUAAGGAACAGUGUUAGAAAAGGCUGAGAUCAUUGGCAAUUAAAUUGACCCUUCUACCUGGAUGUGUAUGGCUUAGAAACCAGAGCAUGCUGUAGUUCCAGCCUUGAGAAUUUUUGUGAGCAUAGCAAAUGGUCCCUUCACUUUAAGAAAGAUCAGAAAAAGAAGAUAUGACCUAAAUCAAAAGCAAAACAAGGCUAUAAUAGCAUUAUAUGACUUAGAUGCUAGACUCAAGUGACCAAGAGAAAUAUUUUUCCCAGGAGGAGGGAAAAUGCCUCUUUUAUAAAUUGAGAAGUGCGCUGUUCUCAUACGGGUCAGACAGUAGAACAUAAGGAUUUCUAUGCCACUGUUGCCUAAAGGAGAGAAUUUUUAAUGAGAAAUGUUUGUUGAGUCCUGUGAUUCCAUGAAGACUUCCUUCAGCAAGAGCAGAAUGGGACAAGGUCCCAUUCCAAAUGGAAACAAUUUGAGGGGUAUUUUAACUAUAAUCCUAAAUGAUGAUAACAAUUGCUUCCACUUAAUUAGAAUCAGUGCAAGAAAAAAGUGGAAUGGAGAUCACUUUACACAAGUAAAAAAGAGCUUUGUUAAAUUACAGUCCCCAAAGCCACUGCAUGGGAAGAACUGACUUGCCUUUCUAGGUGUCAGGUUUUCCUAUCAAUGCUGUAGCUCCAACUUCUUCCAAGAGGCCUGGCUUCUAGGAUCUUCCUUUCAGAAAUGGCCAAAAUGGGAUAAAUGGUGUAAAAAGAGUAGAUAAAGUACACUUCUUCAGAGUGAGUAUAGAAGCUGGGGACACCUGGAUCUAAGCUGGAAUAUCCUAAAAUCUUCCUUCAUUAUGGAUAACAGGAUGAUCUACACCUUGUUUAUGCCUCUAAGGAAAAAGAAAGGAGAAAAGAGUGAAUGAUGGAGAAGUGAAUGAGGAGCUGCCAGUGGUUUCUUAUCAGUAGCUCUCCUAGGGAAGGAUAAUGUCUCUGGCAUUGCUCCAGGUGUCUGACAACCUCUCUUCACCGAAAGAGGCCAUCAUCAUGACAACACGACCCUGCCGCCACUGUGUGGGGAUGAAUUUGGUUCUAGGGCCUGUAUGGAAGCAGAGGGUUGCUCUGGCCUGUGGUGUCCUUUGUCUCACCCUGCCCUUCACAAAAAGGAAGAACAUGGGCUUGGAAGCCAAGCCCCCAAUUUCAUGCUGAUGUCCGGAUGGGGGAGGAAAUCAUGAAACCUAAUUGCCUUUCAGAACAGCACUUGUCUGAUUUUCCCAUGAGGUAUCAAAGGGUAUGGAGUGCAAUUGAUCACAGGGUAGCCAGGGUUCAAUGUCUGUCCUGGCUCCACUUCCAGCAUGACUCUACCCCUGGCAAGUGAGACAGCCUGAUCUCAACAAGUAGUUUCAGCCCCAUGCCAGACUCAGAGACCAAUCUUGGUUUCUGGCAGUGGUCAACUUUUUGUCUACUCUUGCUGUCUUGCUACUGGUCCAGCCUGACUGUGGAUCUCUUGUUCCCCAAUAAUCAGGUUCUUGCCUAUUUCUUGACCAAGCCUCUCUUAAGCCCUAGUUUUCUCCUAUGUUGUGUUUCAGUCCUCAGUGAUUAAGGCCCAGGAUUGUUUUUCAGUCUCUCCAGGGAGACUUCCUUGGAGCCCAGUCUCAACAGCAGCUGGGAUGCCCUGCCCUUGACCUUGAAUGCAGUCUCUGCCAGAUUAUCCCUGAUGCCUUCUUUCUGCCUAUUUGGACUUACUGUGUGCCUAUCCCUUGAACCUCUGGUAAUUAAGGUUUCCUUUCUGCCUGAAAUUACUCUCUAGAGCUUGGUAUUGGUGUCCGUCUCAGCCAAUGGUGCUCCUGUUCUCUUGCUUUUUGGAAUAACCUCAGAUUCAUAAAUUAAUAUAUCUGGAUGCUGAUUCCUGGCCUUAUUCCUUAUUCAUGUCUAUUGGGUUUAGCCAAUGGAGAAUCUGUCUGGCAUUCAAACCUUCACUUAGCUUUGCCCAUUCCACUGGCUGAUGCCUGAGUUAUUAAUACAACAGAGAAAACACUGUAAGAACAUUGUGUUAUCCCCUUCUUGGAUGCUUGGUCACUAUACGACCAAGAUCGGGACACCAGGAGAAAAACUUUCAUGCCCAAUUGACUCAGAAUCUAUGGUUCCUACUCAUGAACAUGGCCCUUCUAGUGUCUCCCCAAAAGUCUACCAGAAUUUCAGUUCUCAAAUUGACUCACUUCUCUCAUUUUUUGUGUGUGUGUUGAAAUGAGUUGAAUUUUUAAAAAUUCCUUCAUUCCUGUCAUUUCUUGGGAUUGGACGGUAUGACAAGUCCCAAGUCCUUCUGGCUCCUCUAGGUCAGAAAGGAAGUCUAAGAAAUAUGAAGAAGGAAGGCUCAAGGCAUCAUCCUAAUGGUUGUGUUGCCAUGGCAGCACUAUGGCUUGUGUAGUCUCUCCCCUUGAGUGUGAGAUGGUCUCCUUUAAUGACUAGAAUACAGCAUAGAAGCAGUGACAGGAGGGUCACUCCUGAGAUUAGGUUACCAAAACAUUGCAGCUUCUGUCUUGCACUGCUUUCCUUUGCUUGUUUGCUCUAAUGGAAACCAGAUCCCAUGUUCGGGGCUGCCCUAUGGAGAGGCCCUAUGGCAAAGAAUGGAAGGAGAGCUCCGGUCAAACAAUCAGUGAAGAACUGAGGCCCUCAGUCCAAUAUAGGGUGAGGAACCGAAUCCUGCCAAUAACCACAUGAAUGAAUUUGGAGUGGAUCCUUCAGAUGAGACUGCAGCACCAACUGAUAUUUCCUUUACAGCCCCAUGAGAGUACCAGCUAAGAGGCACUUGAAUUCCUGACCUACAGAUGUGUGCU
rnacentral:lncRNA from 1 species